CCAAAGGUAUCUGAGAGAAGCAUAGGGGUUAAACCCGUAGGGUGAGACAGAGAGAAGAUGGAUAUCAAAAGGCCAUAUAGUUUGGAAUUUCUCUUGUCUGGGGUCUGAGGUGUGUUCUGUGAUCAGAAGGUGACUUUGAAUAAGUGAAUCUGCAGCCAUGUGGCCUGUGGUUAAUGGAGGGAAGU